UACGUAGGGUGCAAGCGUUGUCCGGAAUUAUUGGGCGUAAAGAGCUCGUAGGCGGUCUGUUGCGUCGGCUGUGAAAACCCGAGGCUCAACCUCGGGCCUGCAGCCGAUACGGGCAGGCUAGAGUUCGGCAGGGGAGACUGGAAUUCCUGGUGUAGCGGUGAAAUGCGCAGAUAUCAGGAAGAACACCUAUGGCGAAGGCAGCUCUCUGGGACGGUACUGACGCUGAGACGCGAAAGCGUGGGGAGCGAACAGG
rnacentral:rRNA from 1 species